rnacentral:ncRNA from 1 species
AUAAAGUUUUAUUCUCGCUUAAAGAAUUGUUAUAGUAAUGAUUUAUAUGUAGAUUAUUAAUAUUUUAAAAGUUAUGUAAGCAGUACUUAAUAUUGGACAAUUAAGGUGAUUUAGAUCCAGUGAAUAUUAUACUGCUGGUUAAAUUCGUGCCAGCUGCCGCGGUUAAACGAUGGGCAGAAAUAAUUUUGUUUUAAUUGGAGUUAUUAUUAUUAAUUAACUUUUUGUGGAUUAUUUAGAGUGAAAUUUGAUUAUUAGGUGAGUUAAGAUUAAAAGGCUUAUAAAGCUUGAUGGAAGACUAGGAUUAGAUACCCUAUUAUGAAAGUUGUAUGAAUUAGUUAGGAUACUAGAAGAUAUAGUCUUUAAAUUCAAAGAAUUUGGCGGUAAUUUAAUCUAUUUAGAGGAAUCUGUUCCAUAAUCGAUAAUACACGAAGGGUUUUACUUGAGUUAUUAGUUUAUAUACCGUCGUCAUCAGAUUAUUUUUAGUUAAAGUUUUCUUAUUUUAUAAUUGUGAUUUAUGUCAGAUCAAGGUGUAGCUUAUGCUUAAGAGGAAAUGGAUUACAUUAAGAUUACUUAUACGAAUUAUUACACUAAGAGUAAUAUAAAGGUGGAUUUAUUAGUAAAUUUAUGAUAAAUUGACGCUAGUUCUAAAUUGUGCACAUAUCGCCCGUCGCUCUCGUGGAUUGAUGAGAUAAGUCGUAACAUAGUAGAUGUACUGGAAAGUGUAUCUGGAAUUUC